rnacentral:rRNA from 1 species
CCGCAAGGCUAAAACCCAAAGGAAUUGACGGGGGCUUACACAAGCGGUGGAGCAUGUGGUUUAAUUCGAAACAACGCGCAAAACCUUACCAAUCCUUGACAUAUGAAAAACCAGGGUGUUUACCCGCUCUGUCUCUUUUAUACAGGUGCUGCAUGGCUGUCGUCAGUUCGUGGUGUGAGCUGUUGGGUUAAGUCCCAGAACGAACGCAACCCUCCUUUGAAAUGAAGGUUUACCUUUUUCAAAGACUGCCAAGGAUAUCUUGGAGGAAGGUGAGGAUGACGUCAAGUCCGCAUGGCCCUUAUGGGUUGGGCUACACACGUGCUACAAUGGGAAUGACAAAAGGAGGCAACAUGGCAACAUUGAGCAAAUCCCAAAAAGUUUCCUUAGUUCGGAUUGUUCUCUGCAACUCGAGAACAUGAAGUUGGAAUCGCUAGUAAUCGUAGAUCAGCACGCUACGGUGAAUUUGUAUCUAAGCCUUGUACACACCGCCCGUCACACUCUGAAAAUUUUCAUGCCUUGAAGCAAAAGAAGUUCACCAAGAACACACAGCGCAAUUUAAAAAAAAACAUCUUCCCUUUUUUUUCUGUGUCUUUGUUGGAACCUUUUCUAGAGUUAGGGGGGUGAUUGGGAGUG